GACGAACGCUGGCGGCGUGCUUAACACAUGCAAGUCGAACGGACAGGCGCGGCUUUUGCGGGGCGCACGAGAGCCGAAGGGGUGAGUAAAACGUGUGUAACCCGCCCCUGUCUUAGGGAUAACUUCUGGAAACUGGGGCGCAAACCCGAUAGGAGCUACUGAAGCGUGUGGGUGGUUGGAAAGAUUCGGCGGUUGGGGAUGGACUCGAGGCUUAUCAGCUAGUUGGUGGGGUAGUGGCGUACAAAGGUUUCGAAGGAUAGCCGGCCUGGGAGCGUUACCGGGCACCAUGCGACUGCGGUACGGACCAGACGCGUACGGGAGGCAGCAGUGGGGAAUAUUGCAGAGUAGGCGGAAGCCUGAUGCAGCAACGCCGCGUGCGGAAUGACGUCUUUCGGGUUGUAAACCGCUUUGUCCUUUGACGAGGCGUGAGUGACGGUAAUGAGUAAGGAAGCACCGGCUAACUACGUG
rnacentral:rRNA from 1 species